rnacentral:rRNA from 1 species
GACGAACGCUGGCGGCGUGCCUAAUACAUGCAAGUAGAACGCUGAAGGAGGAGCUUGCUUCUCUGGAUGAGUUGCGAACGGGUGAGUAACGCGUAGGUAACCUGCCUGGUAGCGGGGGAUAACUAUUGGAAACGAUAGCUAAUACCGCAUAAGAGUAGAUGUUGCAUGACAUUUGCUUAAAAGGUGCAAUUGCAUCACUGCCAGAUGGACCUGCGUUGUAUUAGCUAGUUGGUGAGGUAACGGCUCACCAAGGCAACGAUACAUAGCCGACCUGAGAGGGUGAUCGGCCACACUGGGACUGAGACACGGCCCAGACUCCUACGGGAGGCAGCAGUAGGGAAUCUUCGGCAAUGGACGGAAGUCUGACCGAGCAACGCCGCGUGAGUGAAGAAGGUUUUCGGAUCGUAAAGCUCUGUUGUAAGAGAAGAACGAGUGUGAGAGUGGAAAGUUCACACUGUGACGGUAUCUUACCAGAAAGGGACGGCUAACUACGUG